GACGAACGUUGGCGGCGUGCUUAACACAUGCAAGUCGAACGGAAAGGCCCUGCUUUUGUGGGGUGCUCGAGUGGCGAACGGGUGAGUAACACGUGAGUAACCUGCCCUUGACUUUGGGAUAACUUCAGGAAACUGGGGCUAAUACCGGAUAGGAGCUCCUGCUGCAUGGUGGGGGUUGGAAAGUUUCGGCGGUUGGGGAUGGACUCGCGGCUUAUCAGCUUGUUGGUGGGGUAGUGGCUUACCAAGGCUUUGACGGGUAGCCGGCCUGAGAGGGUGACCGGCCACGUUGGGACUGAGAUACGGCCCAGACUCCUACGGGAGGCAGCAGUGGGGAAUAUUGCACAAUGGGCGGAAGCCUGAUGCAGCAACGCCGCGUGCGGGAUGACGGCCUUCGGGUUGUAAACCGCUUUCGCCUGUGACGAAGCGUGAGUGACGGUAAUGGGUAAAGAAGCACCGGCUAACUACGUGCCAGCAGCCGCGGUGAUACGUAGGGUGCGAGCGUUGUCCGGAUUUAUUGGGCGUAAAGGGCUCGUAGGUGGUUGAUCGCGUCGGAAGUGUAAUCUUGGGGCUUAACCCUGAGCGUGCUUUCGAUACGGGUUGACUUGAGGAAGGUAGGGGAGAAUGGAAUUCCUGGUGGAGCGGUGGAAUGCGCAGAUAUCAGGAGGAACACCAGUGGCGAAGGCGGUUCUCUGGGCCUUUCCUGACGCUGAGGAGCGAAAGCGUGGGGAGCGAACAGGCUUAGAUACCCUGGUAGUCCACGCUGUAAACGGUGGGUACUAGGUGUGGGGUCCAUUCCACGGGUUCCGUGCCGUAGCUAACGCUUUAAGUACCCCGCCUGGGGAGUACGGCCGCAAGGCUAAAACUCAAAGGAAUUGACGGGGCCCCGCACAAGCGGCGGAGCAUGCGGAUUAAUUCGAUGCAACGCGUAGAACCUUACCUGGGUUUGACAUGGAUCGGGAGUGCUCAGAGAUGGGUGUGCCUCUUUUGGGGUCGGUUCACAGGUGGUGCAUGCCUGUCGUCAGCUCGUGUCGUGAGAUGUUGGGUUAAGUCCCGCAACGAGCGCAACCCUUGUUCACUGUUGCCAGCACGUUAUGGUGGGGACUCAGUGGAGACCGCCGGGGUCAACUCGGAGGAAGGUGGGGAUGACGUCAAGUCCUCAUGCCCCUUAUGUCCAGGGCUUCACGCAUGCUACAAUGGCUGGUACAGAGAGUGGCGAGCCUGUGAGGGUGAGCGAAUCUCGGAAAGCCGGUCUCAGUUCGGAUUGGGGUCUGCAACUCGACCUCAUGAAGUCGGAGUCGCUAGUAAUCGCAGAUCAGCAACGCUGCGGUGAAUACGUUCCCGGG
rnacentral:rRNA from 1 species